rnacentral:rRNA from 1 species
AACGAACGCUGGCGGCAGGCCUAACACAUGCAAGUCGAGCGAGGCCUUCGGGCUUAGCGGCGGACGGGUGAGUAACGCGUGGGAACGUGCCCUUUGGUACGGAAUAGCCCCGGGAAACUGGGAGUAAUACCGUAUGUGGUCGAGAGACGAAAGAUUUAUCGCCAAAGGAUCGGCCCGCGUUGGAUUAGGUAGUUGGUGGGGUAAUGGCCUACCAAGCCGACGAUCCAUAGCUGGUUUGAGAGGAUGAUCAGCCACACUGGGACUGAGACACGGCCCAGACUCCUACGGGAGGCAGCAGUGGGGAAUCUUAGACAAUGGGCGCAAGCCUGAUCUAGCCAUGCCGCGUGAGCGAUGAAGGCCUUAGGGUUGUAAAGCCCUUUCGUGGGGGAAGAUAAUGACGGUACCCCAGGAAGAAGCCCCGGCUAACUCCGUGCCAGCAGCCGCGGUAAUAC